ACGACGAAGACUUUUUCAAUGAUAUAAAAGAGGAAGUUAUAGUAUCCUUCAAUCAUGCAGAAUAAAUAACAAUAAUUCGUGAAUAGGAAGAAGACAAAUUGUGAGUGUUCGAAAAAGGGUGUCCUUUCAUUCUUAUCUCUUGCAGCAGUAGUGAGUGUGAGCAUUCUAUCGCAUGCUCUCUACUCGAUUCAAGCAACGGAGUACAUUCAUCUGUCAGGAGGUGUAUCGAUCAGUGUAAAUAACUCAACGUUUCAGAGUCUCUUUGAAAUAAUGGAUCACCAUUUGUUUCUUUCUCACCAUUCUCCAUUCUCUCUGCGUAUUAGUUAAAGGAGGUGUAUGAGUGACCCCAUCGGUGACCCCUUUUUGUUAUAGUUAUGGUUAUGCGGUCAGUCACUCCGAACCAUCGGCUCUGAUACCACUGAUAGGUUAUAUAUAUUUUAUUUUUCACAUAUAUGGGUUAUGGUUAUAGUCAUGGUUAUGACAUUGAGAGAUUAUGGUUCUAUAUAAUUAUAUGACAUUAGUCUUAUAUAUAUAAAACCUUAGACACCACUUUAACCCCAUAACCUUAAGGCAAUGUUAUUAUGGGUCUUUAUUCUUAUAUAAUGUUCAAUUUUAUCUUUUCUAUCUAAUGUGACUUUUUGACUCACACUUGGACUAUUCCCAACUUAUCUCAUCCAUCUUCUCCUUUCUUCCUCUCUUUUUCCUUAUUUAUUUGUUACUUUGUGUGGAUUUGUGAUCCGUGAUGCGUUAGUGUGUUGGGAUUACGGUGAAUAAAAGUGAAUUUGGAGUGUUGUUGGUGAGGAGAGAGAGAAAAGAGAGUGUUGGUUGUGUUGUGAAGGAAAGUAGGUUGGAGAAGAUGAUGUCCGUUGGUGUGUGUGGUGUGGUGUCUGGAUUUGGUUAUGCAGGUGAUCUUCAUUCGUGCAUCCCCAUCAUCAUACUCUUCCUCACCUCACCACACUUAAUCAUACCUACAGAACACACGACAGAAUAAAAAUUCUCAGUGCCUCCAACUCACGCAUAGAACUUCCAUCACCAACCUUCUCCUACCAAAAAAACCCAACACAGAAUCAACCCUUGUAAUCACCAUCUUCCUAACAACACAAAGACAAAAAGAAAACAGAGAACACAACUGCAAGGCCAAC